rnacentral:rRNA from 1 species
GUAGGUGGCAAGCGUUGUCCGGAAUUAUUGGGCGUAAAGCGCGCGCAGGCGGUUCUUUAAGUCUGAUGUGAAAGCCCACGGCUCAACCGUGGAGGGUCAUUGGAAACUGGAGAACUUGAGUACAGAAGAGGAAAGCGGAAUUCCACGUGUAGCGGUGAAAUGCGUAGAGAUGUGGAGGAACACCAGUGGCGAAGGCGGCUUUCUGGUCUGUAACUGACGCUGAGGCGCGAAAGCGUGGGGAGCAAACAGGGAUUAGAUACCCUGGUAGUCCACGCCGUAAACGAUGAGUGCUAAGUGUUAGGGGGUUUCCGCCCCCUUAGUGCUGCAGCUAACGCAUUAAGCACUCCGCCAGGGGAGUACGGCCGCAAGGCUG